GUGGGGAAUAUUGCACAAUGGGCGCAAGCCUGAUGCAGCAACGCCGCGUGAGGGAUGACGGCCUUCGGGUUGUAAACCUCUUUUAGUAGGGAAGAAGCGAAAGUGACGGUACCUGCAGAAAAAGCACCGGCUAACUACGUGCCAGCAGCCGCGGUCAUACGUAGGGUGCAAGCGUUGUCCGGAAUUAUUGGGCGUAAAGAGCUCGUAGGCGGCUUGUCGCGUCUGCUGUGAAAACCCGAGGCUCAACCUCGGGCCUGCAGUGGGUACGGGCAGGCUAGAGUGCGGUAGGGGAGAUUGGAAUUCCUGGUGUAGCGGUGGAAUGCGCAGAUAUCAGGAGGAACACCGAUGGCGAAGGCAGAUCUCUGGGCCGUAACUGACGCUGAGGAGCGAAAGCAUGGGGAGCGAACAGGAUUAGAAACCCGGGUAGUCC
rnacentral:rRNA from 1 species